rnacentral:rRNA from 1 species
UACGUAGGUGGCAAGCGUUAUCCGGAUUUACUGGGUGUAAAGGGCGUGUAGGCGGGAGAGCAAGUCAGACGUGAAAUUCCAGGGCUCAACCCUGGAACUGCGUUUGAAACUGUUCUUCUUGAGUGAUGGAGAGGUAAGCGGAAUUCCUGGUGUAGCGGUGAAAUGCGUAGAUAUCAGGAGGAACACCAGUGGCGAAGGCGGCUUACUGGACUGUAACUGACGUUGAGGCUCGAAAGCGUGGGGAGCAAACAGG